ACAUGCAGUCGAGCGGUAGAGAGAAGCUUGCUUCUCUUGAGAGCGGCGGACGGGUGAGUAAUGCCUAGGAAUCUGCCUGGUAGUGGGGGAUAACGUUCGGAAACGGACGCUAAUACCGCAUACGUCCUACGGGAGAAAGCAGGGGACCUUCGGGCCUUGCGCUAUCAGAUGAGCCUAGGUCGGAUUAGCUAGUUGGUGAGGUAAUGGCUCACCAAGGCGACGAUCCGUAACUGGUCUGAGAGGAUGAUCAGUCACACUGGAACUGAGACACGGUCCAGACUCCUACGGGAGGCAGCAGUGGGGAAUAUUGGACAAUGGGCGAAAGCCUGAUCCAGCCAUGCCGCGUGUGUGAAGAAGGUCUUCGGAUUGUAAAGCACUUUAAGUUGGGAGGAAGGGCAUUAACCUAAUACGUUAGUGUUUUGACGUUACCGACAGAAUAAGCACCGGCUAACUCUGUGCCAGCAGCCGCGGUAAUACAGAGGGUGCAAGCGUUAAUCGGAAUUACUGGGCGUAAAGCGCGCGUAGGUGGUUUGUUAAGUUGGAUGUGAAAUCCCCGGGCUCAACCUGGGAACUGCAUUCAAAACUGACUGACUAGAGUAUGGUAGAGGGUGGUGGAAUUUCCUGUGUAGCGGUGAAAUGCGUAGAUAUAGGAAGGAACACCAGUGGCGAAGGCGACCACCUGGACUAAUACUGACACUGAGGUGCGAAAGCGUGGGGAGCAAACAGGAUUAGAUACCCUGGUAGUCCACGCCGUAAACGAUGUCAACUAGCCGUUGGAAGCCUUGAGCUUUUAGUGGCGCAGCUAACGCAUUAAGUUGACCGCCUGGGGAGUACGGCCGCAAGGUUAAAACUCAAAUGAAUUGACGGGGGCCCGCACAAGCGGUGGAGCAUGUGGUUUAAUUCGAUGCAACGCGAAGAACCUUACCUACUCUUGACAUCCAGAGAAUUUAGCAGAGAUAGUUUAGUGCCUUCGGGAACUCUGAGACAGGUGCUGCAUGGCUGUCGUCAGCUCGUGUUGUGAAAUGUUGGGUUAAGUCCCGCAACGAGCGCAACCCUUAUCCUUUGUUGCCAGCACGUAAUGGUGGGAACUCAAAGGAGACUGCCGGUGAUAAACCGGAGGAAGGUGGGGAUGACGUCAAGUCAUCAUGGCCCUUACGAGUAGGGCUACACACGUGCUACAAUGGCAUAUACAAAGAGAAGCGAACUCGCGAGAGCAAGCGGACCUCAUAAAGUAUGUCGUAGUCCGGAUUGGAGUCUGCAACUCGACUCCAUGAAGUCGGAAUCGCUAGUAAUCGUAGAUCAGAAUGCUACGGUGAAUACGUUCCCGGGCCUUGUACACACCGCCCGUCACACCAUGGGAGUGGGUUGCAAUAAGAAGUAGGUAGCUUAACCUUCGGGAGGGCGCUACC
rnacentral:rRNA from 1 species